AUUCCUACGGGAGGCAGCAGUGGGGGAUAUUGCACAAUGGGGGGAACCCUGAUGCAGCGACGCCGCGUGGGCGAUGGAGUACUUCGGUAUGUAAAGCCCUAUCAGCAGGGAAGAAAAUGACGGUACCUGACUAGGAAGCCCCGGCUAAAUACGUGCCAGCAGCCGCGGUAAUACGUAUGGGGCAAGCGUUAUCCGGAUUUACUGGGUGUAAAGGGAGCGUAGGCGGCCUGGCAAGCCUGAUGUGAACUACCGUGUCCCAACCCCGGUGCUGCAUUGGGAACUGCCAGGCUGGAGUGCCGGAGAUG
rnacentral:rRNA from 1 species